GUAGGGGGCAAGCGUUAUCCGGAAUUACUGGGUGUAAAGGGUGAGUAGGCGGUUAUGUAAGCCAUAUGUGAAAGUCUAGGGCUUAACCCUAGGAAUGCAUAAGGAACUGUGUAACUAGAGUGCAGGAGAGGCAAGUGGAAUUCCUAGUGUAGCGGUGAAAUGCGUAGAUAUUAGGAGGAACACCUGUGGCGAAGGCGACUUGCUGGACUGUAACUGACGCUGAGUCACGAAAGCGUGGGGAGCAAACAGGAUUAGAUACCCUGGUAGUCCACGCCGUAAACGAUGAGUGCUAGGUGUUGGCCAGGAAUGGUCGGUGCCGGAGCAAACGCAGUAAGCACUCCACCUGGGGAGUACGACCGCAAGGUUG
rnacentral:rRNA from 1 species